rnacentral:rRNA from 1 species
CAGUCGAACGGAGAAUUUUAUUUCGGUAGAAUUCUUAGUGGCGAACGGGUGAGCAACGCGUAGGCAACCUGCCCUUUAGACGGGGACAACAUUCCGAAAGGAGUGCUAAUACCGGAUGUGAUCAUCGUGCCGCAUGGCAGGAUGAAGAAAGAUGGCCUCUACAAGUAAGCUAUCGCUAAAGGAUGGGCCUGCGUCUGAUUAGCUAGUUGGUAGUGUAACGGACUACCAAGGCGAUGAUCAGUAGCCGGUCUGAGAGGAUGAACGGCCACAUUGGGACUGAGACACGGCCCAAACUCCUACGGGAGGCAGCAGUGGGGAAUCUUCCGCAAUGGACGAAAGUCUGACGGAGCAACGCCGCGUGAGUGAUGAAGGAUUUCGGUCUGUAAAACUCUGUUGUCUAUGACGAACGUGCAGUGUGUGAACAAUGCGUUGCAAUGACGGUAGUAAACGAGGAAGCCACGGCUAACUACGUGCCAGCAGCCGCGGUAAUACGUAGGUGGCGAGCGUUGUCCGGAAUUAUUGGGCGUAAAGAGCAUGUAGGCGGCUUAAUAAGUCGAGCGUGAAAAUGCGGGGCUCAACCCCGUAUGGCGCUGGAAACUGUUAGGCUUGAGUGCAGGAGAGGAAAGGGGAAUUCCCAGUGUAGCGGUGAAAUGCGUAGAUAUUGGGAGGAACACCAGUGGCGAAGGCGCCUUUCUGGACU